CCCCCGGUCGAUCGUAAACAAAAGUCAUGAAAGUUGGUGAAACUCCUGAAGUUCAGCAAGAAAGGAACGUUUUUAGAGAGACGUUACAACCUGACGCCACAUUGUCUUCAUACAUCAUCUCAAUAAAGUAAAGUAUGGCGACAGGCGUCCAACAUGACCUGAUGAAGCAGGCACAGUGCUUUUGGUCAAUGCUGGAUGAGCUUGCAGAGACCGAUGAAGAUGCAUACAGGAAGUUCAUGGCCACAAACCUCCAAAGAGGACAGCAAGAAUUGACACUGGCCAAGCCAUGGAUGUGUGUCAAGACCCGUAUCAUGGAUUAUGCCGGGUUGAACUACCGAAGCUGUCUGAAUUAAACUGUGCCCACGUACAUCACCAGCGCUAAAUGGCAGAACCACCGGCUAAGAGAGCCCGAAGACGAAAUGAGACACAAACUAACCCUGGUCCAAGCACAGCACCAGACAGUCAGCAGC